rnacentral:sRNA from 1 species
CGAAGCACCGGAGGCAUCGCCAGGGGCGGU